AUGACUUUUCAUCUUCCACAAACACAAACUCCUCCCUCCUCUCUUCUCACGACAGUGCAAGGCCUUCUCUUUCAUUCCCAAUCAAACUCAUCCGCCGUACCAAACCUCUGUUCGCCGCGCUAUUACCAGCAAACUCUCUUCCCCUCUCGCGAAACUCGAUGGUGCAUCUUCAUCUUCUCUUCCCUUUCAGAACCCAGUGCGACGAAACUAUCUCUCUCGAUCCAUUCUCAAUAUGUCCUCCAUACUUCCGUCUCAUUAUCUUCUUCUUCAUUUUGCAUUCAUUCCUCCACCAUAGAAAAACAUUAUGACACCACACGCCACUUCUAG